rnacentral:misc_RNA from 1 species
UGGGCACAGUCAGAGGCAGGU